AUUGAACGCUGGCGGCAUGCCUUACACAUGCAAGUCGAACGGUAACAGGUCUUCGGAUGCCGACGAGUGGCGAACGGGUGAGUAAUACAUCGGAACGUGCCUAGUAGUGGGGGAUAACUACUCGAAAGAGUGGCUAAUACCGCAUGAGAUCUACGGAUGAAAGCAGGGGAUCGCAAGACCUUGUGCUACUAGAGCGGCCGAUGGCAGAUUAGGUAGUUGGUGGGAUAAAAGCUUACCAAGCCGACGAUCUGUAGCUGGUCUGGGAGGACGAUCAGCCAAACUGGGACUGAGACACGGCCCGGACUCCUACGGGAGGCAGCAGUGGGGAAUUUUGGACAAUGGGCGCAAGCCUGAUCCAGCAAUGCCGCGUGCAGGAUGAAGGCCUUCGGGUUGUAAACUGCUUUUGUACGGAACGAAAAGCCCUGGGUUAAUACCCUGGGGUCAUGACGGUACCGUAAGAAUAAGCACCGGCUAACUACGUGCCAGCCGCCGCAGUAACAC
rnacentral:rRNA from 1 species